AUGCUGCAAAACACGGCUCCCCACAACAAACUCCCUGGGGAAGAGGGUUGCUGGGGCUGGGCCCAGAAGCAGUAGCACCAGGGAAAAGGAUUCGAAAACUCUCCCUCUUGUGUGAAUGAUUUGAGAGCCACACAAUAGCUUUGGUACCUGCUUUGCAACUGACCCCUGCCAACCCGCUACCCCAGGAUUUGCCCAAUCCCAAAAAGCCAGAAGGAGUUACCAACCAGCUGCAAUACCUGCACAAGGUAGUGAUGGAGGCUCUGUGGAAACAUCAGUUCACACAGUUCCGGCAGCCUGUGGAUGCUGUCAAACUGGGUCUACCGGAUUAUCACAAAAUUAUAAAACAGCCUAUGGACGUGGGUACUAUUAAGAGGAGACUUGAAAACAGUUAUUAUUGGGCUACCUCAGAGUGUAUGGAAGAUUUAAAUACCAUGUUCACCAACUGUUACAUUUACAACAAGCCCACUGAUAAUAUUGUGCUAAUGGCACAAACGCUGGAAAAGAUCUUCCUACAGAAAGUUGCAUCAAUGCCACAAGAAGAACAAGAACUGGUGGUGACCAUCCCUAAUAACAGCCACAAGAAGGGGGCCAAGUUGGCAGCACUCCAGGACAGUGUUACUCGUGCUCAUCAGGUGCCUGCCAUCUCUUCUGUGUCACACACAGCCCUGUAUACUCCCCCACCUGAGAUACCUACCAUGGUCCUCAACAUUCCCCACUCAUCAGUCAUUUCCUCUUCACUUUUCAAGUCCCUGCACUCUGCUGAAACCCCUCUCCUUGCUGUUACUGCAGCUCCUCCAGCUCAACCCCUUGCCAAGAAAAAAGGUAUAAAGCGGAAAGCAGUUACUACCACCCCUACACCUACAGCCAUCCUGGCUCCUGGUUCCCCAGCUAGCCAUCCUGGGAGUCUUGAGCAUAAGGUAGCAUGGCUUCCCGCAUGCCCCCAUCAAGCCCGCACGCAAAGACUUGCCUGACAUAUCAGCAACAAGACCAGAGCUGUAAGAAAGGAAAGCUUUCAGAACAAUUAAAACAUUGCAAUGGCAUAUUGAAGGAGUUACUCUCUAAGAAGCAUGCAGCCUAUGCUUGGCCUUUGUAUAAACCAGUGGAUGCUUCUGCACUUGGCCUGCGUAACUACCACGACAUCAUGAGGCACCCCAUGGAUCUCAGCAAUGUCAAGAAAAUGGAGAACCCUGAUUACCCAGAUGCACAGGAGUUUGCUGCUGAUGUACUGCUUAUGUUUUCCAACUGCUAUAAGUACAGUCCCCCAGAUCACCCCCAGAUUUCGUGGCAGUGGCACGAAAGCUACAGGAUGUAUUUGUUUCCAUUAUGCCAAGAUGCCAGAUGAACCACUGGAACCAGGGCCUUUACCAGUCUCUACUGCCAUGCCCCUUGGCUUGGCCAAAUCAUCUUCAGAGUCCUCCAGUGAGGAAAGUAGCAGUGAGAGCUCCUCUGAGGAAGAGGAGGAGGAAGAAGAAGAGAGCUAAAGCUCAGACUUAAAGGAAGAAAGGGCUCAUGGCUUAGCAGAACUACAGGAACAGCUUUGGGCAGUACAUGAACAACUGGUUGGUCUGUGUCAGGAUCCAAUAUCCAAGCCCAAGAGCAAAAGAGAGAAAAAAGAGAAAAAUAAGAAACAAAAGGCAGGGAAGCAUUGAGACAGAGCUGGGGCUGAUGAAGAUGACAAGGGGCCUUGGGCAUCCCGCCCACCUUAGCCCAAGAAGUCCAAGAAAGCAAGUGGUAGUGGGGGUGGCAGUGCUGCUUUAGGCUCUCCUGGCUUUGGACCUUCUGGAGGAAGUGGCACCAAGCUCCCCAAAAAGGCCACAAAGUCAACCCCACCUGCCCUGCCUAAGGGUUAUGAUUCAGAGGAGGAGGAAGAGAGCAGUCCCAUGACUUACAAUGAGAAGCGGCAGCUGAGCCUGGACAUCAACGAAUUACCUGGGGAGAAGCUGGGCUGAGUUGUGCAUAUAAUCCAAGCCAGGGAGCCCUCUUUACGUGGUUGAAAUUCAGAAGAGAUUGAGAUUGGUUCUGAAACACUCAAGCCAUCCACACUUAGAAAGCUUGAGCUCUAUAUCCUUUCCUGCAUACAUAAGAAACCCCAGAGGCCCUAUACCAUUAAGAAGUCUGUGGGACGGACAAAGGAGGAACUCGCUUUGGAGAAAAAGCAGGAAUUAGAAAAGUGGUUACAAGAUGUCAGCGGACAACUCAAUUCCCCUAAAAAGUCCCCCAAAGAAAGUGAGUGAGAAAACAGAGUCAUCCUCUGCACAGCAAGUAGCAGUGUCAUGCCUUACCUCCAGCUCAGAUUCCAGCUCCUUCUCCUCAUCGUCCCCUUCUUCAGACACCAGUGAUUCAGACUCAGGCUAA